rnacentral:rRNA from 1 species
GCGGCAGGCCUAACACAUGCAAGUCGAGGGGUAACAGGGAUUGCUUGCAAUCCGCUGACGACCGGCGCACGGGUGCGUAACGCGUAUGCAACCUACCUUUUACAGGGGUAUAGUCAAGAGAAAUUUUGAAUAACACCCCAUACGAUCAUUUUUACACCUGUAAAGAUGAAGAAAACUCCGGUGGUAAAAGAUGGGCAUGCGUCCUAUUAGUUAGUUGGUGAGGUAACGGCUCACCAAGACCGCGAUAGGUAGGGGUCCUGAGAGGGAGAUCCCCCACACUGGUACUGAGACACGGACCAGACUCCUACGGGAGGCAGCAGUGAGGAAUAUUGGACAAUGGAGGCAACUCUGAUCCAGCCAUGCCGCGUGCAGGAAGACUGCCCUAUGGGUUGUAAACUGCUUUUAUACAGGAAGAAACCUUGGUACGUGUACCAAGCUGACGGUACUGUAAGAAUAAGGAUCGGCUAACUCCGUGCCAGCAGCCGCGGUAAUACGGAGGAUCCAAGCGUUAUCCGGAAUCAUUGGGUUUAAAGGGUCCGCAGGCGGUCUUUUAAGUCAGAGGUGAAAUCCUAUCGCUCAACGAUAGAACUGCCUUUGAUACUGAAAGACUUGAGUUAUUGUGAAGUGGUUAGAAUAUGUAGUGUAGCGGUGAAAUGCAUAGAUAUUACAUAGAAUACCGAUUGCGAAGGCAGAUCACUAACAAUACACUGACGCUGAGGGACGAAAGCGUGGGUAGCGAACAGGAUUAGAUACCCUGGUAGUCCACGCCGUAAACGAUGGAUACUAGCUGUUUGACCAACAUUGGUUGGUUGAGUGGCUAAGCGAAAGUGAUAAGUAUCCCACC